UCUCUGGUAGUGUAUCGGUUAGUACACGCGCCUGUCAACUAGGAACUUAAAUUUCCCUUUCGCGCGAAAGCUGGGUUCGACUCCCAGCCAGAGAG